rnacentral:rRNA from 1 species
UACGUAGGGUGCGAGCGUUGUCCGGAAUUAUUGGGCGUAAAGGGCUCGUAGGCGGUUUGUCGCGUCGGGAGUGAAAUCCACUGGCUUAACUGGUGGCUUGCUUUCGAUACGGGCAGACUGGAGGUAUGCAGGGGAGAACGGAAUUCCUGGUGUAGCGGUGAAAUGCGCAAAUAUCAGGAGGAACACCGGUGGCGAAGGCGGUUCUCUGGGCAUGUCCUGACGCUGAGGAGCGAAAGUGUGGGGGAGCGAACAGG